CGUCCACGCCCGCUCAAGAAACUACAAUGAAUUGGACGGGGCCCGCACAAGCGGAGGAGCAUGUGGUUUAAUUCGAUGAUACGCGAGGAACCUUACCUGGGCUCGAACGUAAGAUGACUGUAGGUGAAAGCUUACAUCUCUUCGGAGCUAUUUUACGAGGUGCUGCAUGGUUGUCGUCAGCUCGUGCCGUGAGGUGUCGGGUUAAGUCCCAUAACGAGCGCAACCCCUAUCAUUAGUUGCCAUCAGGUCAAGCUGGGGACUCUAAUGAAACUGCCUACGCAAGUAGUGAGGAAGGUGGGGAUGACGUCAAAUCAGCACGGCCCUUACGUCCAGGGCUACACACGUGCUACAAUGGUCGGUACAAAGGGUUGCCAAGCCGCGAGGUGGAGCUAAUCCCAUAAAACCGAUCGUAGUCCGGAUCGCAGUCUGCAACUCGACUGCGUGAAGUCGGAAUCGCUAGUAAUCGUGAAUCAGAAUGUCACGGUGAAUACGUUCCCGGGCCUU
rnacentral:rRNA from 1 species